GUAGGCGGUUUCUUAAGUCAGUGGUGAAAGCUUAGCGCUUAACGCUAGAAGUGCCACUGAUACUGGGAAGCUUGAGUCAAGAAGAGGUAAGCAGAAUUCAUAGUGUAGCAGUGAAAUGCUUAGAUACUAUGAGGAAUACCAACAGCGAAGGCAGCUUACUGGUCUUGCACUGACGCUGAGGCACGAAAGCGUGGGUAGCGAACAGGAUCAGAUACCCUGGUAGUCCACGCCGUAAACGAUGAUCACUCGAUGUACACGCUAGUCGUGUGUGUCCAAGCAAAAGCAUUAAGUGAUCCACCUGGGGAGUACGCUCGCAAGAGUGAAACUCAAAGGAAUUGACGGGAGUCCGCACAAGCGGUGGAGCAUGUGGUUUAAUUCGAUAAUACGCGAGGAACCUUACCUGGGCUCGAAUGUCUCUGCUACCUCGAGAAAUCGAGGGUUCCCUCGGGACAGAGUACAAGGUGCUGCAUGGCUGUCGUCAGCUCGUGUCGUGAGAUGUUGGGUUAAGUCCUAUAACGAGCGCAACCCCUUUACUUAGUUGCCAGCACAUUAUGGUGGGGACUCUAAGUAGACUGCCUGCGUAAGUAGGAGGAAGGAGGGGACGAGGUCAAGUCAUCAUGGCCCUUACGCCCAGGGCUACACACGUGCUACAAUGGCGUGUACAGAAGGAAGCUACUUGGUAACAAGCGGCAAACCCUCAAAGCACGUCUCAGUUCGGAUUGAGGUCUGCAACUCGACCUCAUGAAGCUGGAAUCGCUAGUAAUCGCGCAUCAGCAAUGGCGCGG
rnacentral:rRNA from 1 species